AAUCAUACUAUCAAUAAAUGGAUUCACCCGUGAUAUAACGUGGUUGUUCCACUUAGGACAAGAACGUGGCAUCCUAUUACAAGCCAUUGCACAAAAUCAAAGGAUGCCACGUCCUCAUCAUAGGUGGAACAACCACGUCAUCUCACAGGUGAAUCCAUUCAUUGAUAGUGUGGUU
rnacentral:pre_miRNA from 10 species